UUAAGGAAAUGGUACUUGGAAACGUUCCAACUCGUCAUUUUUAUUCUCCCUACGCAACAAAGACAACUUUGCUCCAUUUAUUGCCAACAUCAAGCAAGGUCAGGAACAAAGUGCAAUCUUCUGUUCGACUCGUUAUGGACCAACCUUUGGUGGAGGUCAUGAUCUGUACAUUUGUAACAAUCCUCAAGUUAAUCAGCAUUCAUACAGCAAUUUUGGACACACAUAUCAACUUCCUCCUGGUUAUGUCUAUGGCAGUGAACAAGCAAAGAACAUUCUUGCUGGUCAGUACCAAUUCUUAACGACAGAAAUUGAAGUCUUCAAUUGAAAAGUGCCUUUGUUUACUUACUUUAACGAAAAAU
rnacentral:lncRNA from 1 species